AUGAACGCUGGCGGCGUGCCUAAUACAUGCAAGUCGAACGCCGGAGAUCUAGCUUGCUAGCUCGAAGGAGUGGCGAACGGGUGAGUAAUACAUAAGCAACCUACCCACGAAGACUGGGAUAAUCUCUGGAAACGGGGACUAAUACCGGAUAGGUAAUCGGAAGGCAUCUUCUGGUUAUUAAAGGUUAAAAACACUGGUGGAUGGGCUUAUGGCGCAUUAGUUAGUUGGUGAGGUAACGGCCCACCAAGACGAUGAUGCGUAGCCGGCCUGAGAGGGUGAACGGCCACAUUGGGACUGAGACACGGCCCAGACUCCUACGGGAGGCAGCAGUAGGGAAUUUUCGGCAAUGGGGGCAACCCUGACCGAGCAACGCCGCGUGAGUGAAGACGGCCUUCGGGUUGUAAAGCUCUGUUGUAAGGGAAGAACGGUAGAUAGAGAAUAUCUAAGUGACGGUACCUUACCAGAAAGCCACGGCUAACUACGUG
rnacentral:rRNA from 1 species